CUUCCUUCGGGAAGUGGAUUAGCGGCGGACGGGUGAGUAACACGUGGGUAACCUGCCUCAAAGUGGGGGAUAGCCUUCCGAAAGGAAGAUUAAUACCGCAUAACAUAAGAGAAUCGCAUGAUUUUCUUAUCAAAGAUUUAUUGCUUUGAGAUGGACCCGCGGCGCAUUAGCUAGUUGGUAAGGUAACGGCUUACCAAGGCAACGAUGCGUAGCCGACCUGAGAGGGUGAUCGGCCACAUUGGAACUGAGACACGGUCCAGACUCCUACGGGAGGCAGCAGUGGGGAAUAUUGCGCAAUGGGGGAAACCCUGACGCAGCAACGCCGCGUGGGUGAUGAAGGUCUUCGGAUUGUAAAGCCCUGUUUUCUGGGACGAUAAUGACGGUACCAGAGGAGGAAGCCACGGCUAACUACGUGCCAGCAGCCGCGGUAAUACGUAGGUGGCGAGCGUUGUCCGGAUUUACUGGGCGUAAAGGGUGCGUAGGCGGAUGUUUAAGUGGGAUGUGAAAUCCCCGGGCUUAACCUGGGGGCUGCAUUCCAAACUGGAUAUCUAGAGUGCAGGAGAGGAAAGCGGAAUUCCUAGUGUAGCGGUGAAAUGCGUAGAGAUUAGGAAGAACACCAGUGGCGAAGGCGGCUUUCUGGACUGUAACUGACGCUGAGGCACGAAAGCGUG
rnacentral:rRNA from 1 species